rnacentral:rRNA from 1 species
AUGUGGAGGAACAAAUCGAAGAAUUCAAGGCCCAGAUCCAAGGUGCACGGGACCGCUGCACAAGUUGCCAUGGAUCCUAAACUGCUCCAUGGGGAGGCGCCUUGCCGCCUUGUGGGCAGCGAUGAACCAAGGAAUGUUCUUGUUAACCACCUGAUGGACCAAGAAGAGCGGCGUAAGGUGGUGUGCAUCGUGGGAACCGGAGGAAUUGGCAAGUCAACUCUUGCCACGGGAAUAUACCGACAGCUCCAAGGGCAGUUCAGCUGCGGGGCUUUCGUGCAUCUCGGCCGGAACCCGUCUGUGAAGACGACCCUGAUCAGUAUACUCAAGCAAGUAAUGCAGGACUGGCACUGCGAAGAGUAUUUAUGGAACGGCUACAACUCUGAGGACAUGGAAGCAUGGGACGAGAAGAAGGUCAUCAAUAAACUCUGGGCAUUCUUAAAAACAAAGAGUUAUUUUGUUGUGCUCGUGGACAUGCGGAGCAUAUCGACUUGGAAGAAGAUCAGUUGUGCUUUGCCUAAUAAAGACAAGUCUUCUGAUAGGAUAUUGAUUACAACUUGUACCAAGGAUGUAGCAGAAUCAUGUUGCAUACAUCCCAGUGAUUUUGUUCAUCCGAUGGAGCGCCUUAGCGAGAAAGAUUCCAAAACAUUAUUUCAUAGUAAAGUACCUAUUUCAGAACAACAUAGGCUGCUUGAAGUUUCUGAUGACAUGUUGGAAAUGUGUGGUGGCGGCGUGCCAUUGGCCAUAACUAUUACAGCUGCAUUAUUAUCUAGGAAAUCUGCAUGCUUGCCACCUGACCAAUGUCAUUCCACACCACAAUGGAUGAGAAAGGUACUGGAGAUCAGCUAUGAUGAUCUACCACUUCCUUUGAAGUCUUGUUUUCUGUACUUGAGUGCUUUUCCUGGAAAUCGUACCAUCAAGAAAGAUAGUUUGAUAAGAAGAUGGGAAGCUGAAGGAUUAAUUGCUAAAAGAGAUGGAGAAAGCUUGUGGGAAACAGGGGAAAGCUACUUCAAUGAGCUUAUCAAUAGGAGACUGAUUCAACCGGCAUUUGAUGAUGAUAAUGAUGAGCCGACGGGUUGUACUGUUCAUGGUGUUGUUCUUGAUUUCAUGGAAUCCUUGUCAGCCGAAGAAAACUUUACUACUAAAGGUGGAAAGUUGAAGUGUGGACUAUUUCCUUAUGAAAGGGUCCGGCGAAUCUGCCUUGACUGCGGCGAACAAGACGAAGGUGACGCCUUGCUUAGCAGUAAAUAUUAUUGUUCUUCGAAACAAAAGAGUCGGGAGGAGGACUCAAGCAGUGAAGAAAGCUCAGUUUGUGACCAAGACAAAGCAAUUUCUUUGCACCUAUCUCAGGUGAGAUCCUUUGCAUUCUGUGGGGAUGUUGGAAGGAUCCCUGAUCUUUUAGAUCACUUCAGACUUGUACGGGUGCUAGAUCUCAGUGAUGUCAGCUUGCAAAACAAACAACUGGGAAGCAUUGGAAGUUUGUCUCUGCUGAGGUACUUGGCACUUGGCGGGGCCGAUGUCACAGAGCUGCCUCAACAAAUUAUGGAACUUGACCACCUGUCUACCUUAGAUUUAAGGCAGACUGAGGUAAAUGAAUUACCAGAAUUUAAGGGCACGACCAAGUUGGCGUGUUUGCUUGCAAAUGGUCUCACAAUACGGGGACAGGGAGGAGGAAUGGGGGAAAUGGAAAAAUUGGAGGAACUAUCAACGGUCUGUCUGGGUGGUGAUGGCUCACUUGCUGACAAUGUGGCAGGGCUUGUUAGAAAGUUGAUGCGGCUGCGGAUGCUUGGGGUGAGAUUUAGGAUUACGUAUAAUAAUACUGCAGAAGAAGCGGAACGGCAGGGCAUCAAGCAUUUGGUGGAGGAGGUGGGGAAAUCAAACUUGCAGUUCCUUUUUCUUGAUGAAUACCCUCAUCGUCUGCUCGACUUACUUGUUGACUGCUGGAGCCAUGUAAGGCCACGUUACCUGCGGAAAUUUGAGCUAAGAUUGGACUGGCUAUUGUGCCCCCUAAAAGUCCCACAGAAGAUCUCUUUGCUUGUUGACCUCACUCACUUGCAUAUCGGAGUUUCAAUAGUAGAUGCAGAAGGUGUCCGCGCCCUCGGGGGGCUGCCAAAGUUAGUCCUCCUAAAAUUGCAUUCACUGCGGCCACAACAUGUAUAUGGCCUCACCGGUGAACCACAAAGCCCAGCAAGGUUGUCCGUGAGCAGCAAGGAUGGCUUUCAGCGCCUCAAGGUGUUCUGGUACGUCUGCGAGCAUGGCGCUUGGACGGGGCUGCAGUUUGAAGAAGGCUCCAUGCCGCACCUCCGAAGGCUUCUCAUUGACUUCCAGUCAUCGGAGGAUACAGAUCACUUUGUGCUUGGUAUCCAGCAUUUCUCUUGUCUCGUGCAGGUCCGUGCCACCAUCUACUGUGAGCCUACUUCAACAACGGUUUCUGCCGCGGAGACCCACAUCAGAGACCAAGUGUCUCAGAACCCCAACAAUCCCCUACUGGAAUUCAACAGAAAACGUCGAGGCCGUUUGGUGAGGCGUCUAGGGCCGCUCUCUAAUGUGAAGAAGCAGCCAUCGGCGGUGAUUAAGAUCCGCAGCCUGGAUCACUGGACCAUGAUGAUCGAGCAGGAGGACAACAAGCUGCUCGUGAUUGAGUUCACCGCGAGCUGGUGCAGGGCAUCCGACACCAUAGCUCCCUUUUUUGCUCAUCUCGCCAACCAGUUUCCAGAUGCCAUUUUUCUCGAGGUUGAUAUUGAUGAUAUGAAGUAUAUUGCCGAGGCAUACAAAGUUGAUGGUGCGCCGAUGUUCCUGUUCAUGAACAGGCUAGAGGUUAAGGACACGCUUCGUGGCGCACACAAGGAUGAGCUGCUUGAGAAGAUUCAGCGGCAGAUGGCCCGGCUUGUGGACAAAUGA